rnacentral:rRNA from 1 species
AGUGAACGCUGGCGGCGUGCCUAAUACAUGCAAGUCGAACGAAGUGGCGCGCGGGUGAGUAAUAUAUAGUUAAUCUGCCCUACACCGAGGAACAACAGUUGGAAACGACUGCUAAUACCUCAUAGUGUAGGAUGAGACUAUAUCGUAUCAGCUAGUUGGUAAGGUAAUGGCUUACCAAGGCUAUGACGCGUAACUGGUCUGCGAGGAUGAUCAGUCACAUUGGAAGUGAGACACCGUCAGAGCUUCUACGGGAAGCAGCGGUAAGGAGUAUUGCGCAAUGGGCGAGACCCAAGAGGAGCAACGGCGCGUGGAGGAUGACACUUUGCGGAGAGUAAACUCGUUUUAACAUGAAAGCGGUACCUGAUGAAUAAGCACCGGCUAACUACGUGCCAGCAGCCGCGGUAAUUC